GAAAUCUCCUAAUAUAUUCAGAAUUGAUGUGUAAUCCCCCAUAAAAUACAUCGUUUCCAUUGUAAAAAUCAGUGAUGCAAACCCACUUCACGCGCAGCACCCACCUGCACCGUACCACACAACGCUGUGACAACACUAACACGAAGCUGAUGCUGAUUGCUCAACAGUGAGGGAUCCCUGCCCAGGAGCAGCCAGCACCGUGGAGCUGACUCUUUUCAUCAUUCCGAUGUUGGGAAUUUU
rnacentral:lncRNA from 1 species